GACGAACGCUGGCGGCGUGCUUAACACAUGCAAGUCGAACGGAAAGGCCCUGCUUUUGUGGGGUGCUCGAGUGGCGAACGGGUGAGUAACACGUGAGUAACCUGCCCUUGACUUUGGGAUAACUUCAGGAAACUGGGGCUAAUACCGGAUAGGAUCUCCUGCUGCAUGGUGGGGGUUGGAAAGUUUCGGCGGUUGGGGAUGGACUCGCGGCUUAUCAGCUUGUUGGUGGGGUAGUGGCUUACCAAGGCUUUGACGGGUAGCCGGCCUGAGAGGGUGACCGGCCACAUUGGGACUGAGAUACGGACCAGACUCCUACGGGAGGCAGCAGUGGGGAAUAUUGCACAAUGGGCGGAAGCCUUAUGCAGCAACGCCGCGUGCGGGAUGACGGCCUUCGGGUUGUAAACCGCUUUCGCCUGUGACGAAGCGUGAGUGACGGUAAUGGGUAAAGAAGCACCGGCUAACUACGUG
rnacentral:rRNA from 1 species